AACGAACGCUGACGGUGUGCCUCAUACAUGCAAGUCGAGCGGACUCAGCAAUGGGUUAGCGGCGGACGGGUGAGUAACACGUGAACAAUCUGCCCUCGAAUCUGGGAUAACAGUUCCAACGAGCUGCUAAUACCGGGUAGGUUAGUUUCGUCGCAUGGCGAGACUAAGAGAGUUCCAAUUGGAACGUUCGAGGAUGAGUUCGCGGCCCAUUAGCUAGUUGGCGGGGUAAAGGCCCACCAAGGCAACGAUGGGUAGCCGGCCUGAGAGGGUGAUCGGCCACAUUGGGACUGAGAUACGGCCCAGACUCCUACGGGAGGCAGCAGUAGGGAAUUUUGCGCAAUGGACGAAAGUCUGACGCAGCAACACCGUGUGAGGGAUGAAGCAUUUCGGUGUGUAAACCUCUGUCGAUGGUGAAUAAUGUUUCGGGGAGUGGAAAGCCUCGGAAUUGAAGGUAGCCAUGAAGGAAGCACCGGCUAACUCUGUGCCAGCAGCCGCGGUAAUACAGGGGGUGCAAGCGUUGUUCGGAAUCACUGGGCGUAAAGGGAGCGUAGGCGGAACUACGAGACAGAGGUUAAAUCUCCGGGCUCAACCUGGAACUUGCCUUUGUGACUGUGGUUCUUGAGUAUGGUAGAGGUUAGUGGAAUUUCCGGUGUAGCGGUGGAAUGCGUAGAGAUCGGAAAGAACACCAGAGGCGAAGGCGACUAACUGGACCAAUACUGACGCUGAGGCUCGAAAGCGUGGGGCAAACAGGAUUAGAUACCCUGGUAGUCCACGCUGUAAACGAUGAACACUAGAUGUCGGGGAGGGGUUCCUUCCGGUGUCGUCGCUAACGCAGUAAGUGUUCCGCCUGUGGAGUACGCUCGCAAGGGUG
rnacentral:rRNA from 1 species